rnacentral:tRNA from 1 species
UUAAUUGAAACCAAAAAGAGGUAUAUCACUGUUAAUGAUAACAUUGAAUAAUAUAAAUUCCAAUUAAA